rnacentral:rRNA from 1 species
UAGGGAAUCUUCCGCAAUGGACGAAAGUCUGACGGAGCAACGCCGCGUGAGUGAUGAAGGCUUUCGGGUCGUAAAACUCUGUUGUUAGGGAAGAACAAGUACGAGAGUAACUGCUCGUACCUUGACGGUACCUAACCAGAAAGCCACGGCUAACUACGUGCCAGCAGCCGCGGUAAUACGUAGGUGGCAAGCGUUAUCCGGAAUUAUUGGGCGUAAAGCGCGCGCAGGCGGUUUCUUAAGUCGGAUGUGAAAGCCCACGGCUCAACCGUGGAGGGUCAUUGGAAACUGGGGAACUUGAGUGCAGAAGAGAAAAGCGGAAUUCUACGUGUAGCGGUGAAAUGCGUAGAGAUGUGGAGGAACACCAGUGGCGAAGGCGGCUUUUUGGUCUGUAACUGACGCUGAGGCGCGAAAGCGUGGGGAGCAAACA